rnacentral:rRNA from 1 species
UACGUAGGGGGCGAGCGUUGUCCGGAUUCAUUGGGCGUAAAGAGCUCGUAGGCGGCUUGGCAAGUCGGAUGUGAAAACUCCAGGCUCAACCUGGAGCCGCCAUUCGAUACUGCUAUGGCUAGAGUCCGGUAGGGGAGUGUGGAAUUCCCGGUGUAGCGGUGAAAUGCGCAGAUAUCGGGAGGAACACCGAUGGCGAAGGCAGCACUCUGGGCCGGCACUGACGCUGAGGAGCGAAAGCGUGGGGAGCGAACAGGAUUAGAUACCCUGGUAGUCCACGCCGUAAACGUUGGGCACUAGGUGUGGGGCCUUAUCAACGGGUUCCGUGCCGCAGCUAACGCAAUAAGUGCCCCGCCUGGGGAGUACGGCCGCAAGGCUAAAACUCAAAG